UACGUAGGGUCCAAGCGUUAUCCGGAAUCACUGGGCGUAAAGCGUGCGUAGGCGGAUGUUUAAGUGUGAUGUUAAAUCGUGGGGCUCAACCCUGUCGUUGCAUCGCAUACUGGGCAUCUAGAGGACGGCAGAGGCAAGUGGAACUCGUAGUGUAGCAGUGAAAUGCGUAGAUAUUACGAAGAACACCAAUGGCGAAGGCAGCUUGCUGGGCCGACCCUGACGCUGAGGUACGAAAGCGUGGGGAGCGAACGAGGACU
rnacentral:rRNA from 1 species